GGGACAACCCGCCGAAAGGCGGGCUAAACCCGCGUACAUGCCACCGGGGCAUCCCGGAGGCAGGAAAGGCUUCGGCCGGACAGGGAUGGGCAUGCGGCGCAUUAGGCAGUAGGCGGGGUAACGGCCCACCUAACCGACGAUGCGUAGGGGUUCUGAGAGGAAGGUCCCCCACACUGGUACUGAGACACGGACCAGACUCCUACGGGAGGCAGCAGUGAGGAAUAUUGGUCAAUGGUCGGGAGACUGAACCAGCCAAGCCGCGUGAGGGAGGAAGGUACAGAGUAUCGUAAACCUCUUUUGUCAGGGAACAAAGACUGGGACGCGUCCCCGGAUGAGUGUACCUGAAGAAAAAGCAUCGGCUAACUCCGUGCCAGCAGCCGCGGUAAUACGGAGGAUGCGAGCGUUAUCCGGAUUUAUUGGGUUUAAAGGGUGCGCAGGCGGUCUGUUAAGUCAGCGGUCAAAGCCCGGGGCUCAACCCCGGCCCGCCGUUGAAACUGGCAGUCUCGAGUUGGAGAGAAGUAUGCGGAAUGCGCGGUGUAGCGGUGAAAUGCAUAGAUAUCGCGCAGAACUCCGAUUGCGAAGGCAGCAUGCCGGCUCCACACUGACGCUGAGGCACGAAAGCGUGGGUAUCGAACAGGAUUAGAUACCCUGGUAGUCCACGCAGUAAACGAUGAAUGCUGGCUGUCCG
rnacentral:rRNA from 1 species